rnacentral:rRNA from 1 species
UACGGAGGGUGCAAGCGUUAUCCGGAUUCACUGGGUUUAAAGGGUGCGUAGGCGGAUUGGUAAGUCCGUGGUGAAAUCCCCGAGCUUAACUUGGGAACUGCCGUGGAUACUAUCAGUCUUGAAUAUCGUGGAGGUAAGCGGAAUAUGUCAUGUAGCGGUGAAAUGCUUAGAUAUGACAUAGAACACCAAUUGCGUAGGCAGCUUACUACUCGAGCAUUGACGCUGAGGCACGAAAGCGUGGGGAGCAAACAGG